CCUACGGGUGGCAGCAGUGGGGAAUAUUGGGCAAUGGGCGCAAGCCUGACCCAGCAACGCCGCGUGAAGGAAGAAGGCUUUCGGGUUGUAAACUUCUUUUAAGGGGGAAGAGCAGAAGACGGUACCCCUUGAAUAAGCCACGGCUAACUACGUGCCAGCAGCCGCGGUAAUACGUAGGGGGCAAGCGUUAUCCGGAUUUACUGGGGGUAAAGGGGGCGCAGACGGCGAUGCAAGCCAUGAGUGAAAGCCCGGGGCGCAAGCCCGGGACUGCUGUUGGAACUGCGUGGCUGGAGUGCAGGAGGGGCAGGCGGAAUUCCUGGUGUAGCGGUGAAAUGCGUAGAUAUCAGGAGGAACACCGGUGGCGAAGGCGGCCUGCUGGACUGCAACUGACGUUGAGGCCCGAAAGCGUGGGGAGCAAACAGGAGUAGAUACCCUGUAGUC
rnacentral:rRNA from 1 species